GAUGAACGCUGGCGGCGUGCCUAAUACAUGCCAGUCGAGCGAACAGAUGAGGAGCUUGCUCCUCUGACGUUAGCGGCGGACGGGUGAGUAACACGUGGAUAACCUACCUAUAAGACUGGGAUAACUUCGGGAAACCGGAGCUAAUACCGGAUAAUAUAUUGAACCGCAUGGUUCAAUAGUGAAAGACGGUCUUGCUGUCACUUAUAGAUGGAUCCGCGCCGCAUUAGCUAGUUGGUAAGGUAACGGCUUACCAAGGCGACGAUGCGUAGCCGACCUGAGAGGGUGAUCGGCCACACUGGAACUGAGACACGGUCCAGACUCCUACGGGAGGCAGCAGUAGGGAAUCUUCCGCAAUGGGCGAAAGCCUGACGGAGCAACGCCGCGUGAGUGAUGAAGGUCUUCGGAUCGUAAAACUCUGUUAUUAGGGAAGAACAAAUGUGUAAGUAACUAUGCACGUCUUGACGGUACCUAAUCAGAAAGCCACGGCUAACUACGUG
rnacentral:rRNA from 1 species